AUUGAACGCUGGCGGCAUGCUUUACACAUGCAAGUCGAACGGUAACAGGGUGCUUGCACCGCUGACGAGUGGCGAACGGGUGAGUAAUGCGUCGGAACGUGCCGAGUAGUGGGGGAUAACGCAUCGAAAGGUGUGCUAAUACCGCAUACGUACUGAGGUAGAAAGUGGGGGACCUUCGGGCCUUACGCUAGUCGAGCGGCCGACGUCUGAUUAGCUAGUUGGUGAGGUAAAGGCUCACCAAGGCGACGAUCAGUAGCGGGUCUGAGAGGAUGAUCCGCCACACUGGGACUGAGACACGGCCCAGACUCCUACGGGAGGCAGCAGUGGGGAAUUUUGGACAAUGGGCGCAAGCCUGAUCCAGCCAUGCCGCGUGUCUGAAGAAGGCCUUCGGGUUGUAAAGGACUUUUGUCCGGGAGCAAAUACCCAGUGCUAAUAACGCUGGGGGCUGAGAGUACCGGAAGAAUAAGCACCGGCUAACUACGUGCCAGCAGCCGCAGUAACAC
rnacentral:rRNA from 1 species